rnacentral:lncRNA from 1 species
CCUCAGGUGCUUUUCUUCCCACAAAUCUUUAGAAAAAAGAAAGAAAUGAAAAGAAAAAGAACGAAAGACAAAAGAAAUGAAGGAAAAAAAAAUUGAACAAUCUAUGCGGAAAAACAUCUACCCUUUUAAUUUUUCCACCUUUCCUUUGCUUUAGUUGAUUUUCUAUGAUUUUCCUCUAUUUUUUCCAUUCUCAGGAGUCUCAAUCAGAUGGGAGUCUCCGAACUCUUCACCCUGCUCUCCUUAAUGCCACCUCCUGUCAAUCUCUGCCUUCGCCUUCUUCUCCA